CACCGAGCGGGACGCAUUGAUGCACGGUCCGAUCCUCCGGCCGCCGGGACCGUCGCGGAGCAACUGGCGAGACCGACCUGCCCACCA
rnacentral:ncRNA from 1 species